GACGUGACUUCAGAGUUUGAUCCUGGCUCAGGACGAACGCUGGCGGCGUGCCUAACACAUGCAAGUCGAACGGAGUGUUUCGCUGAAUUGAUACUAGCUUGCUAGAGGAUUUCUUGAAACACUUAGUGGCGGACGGGUGAGUAACGCGUGAGUAACCUGCCUUUCAGAGGGGGACAACAGUUGGAAACGACUGCUAAUACCGCAUAACGUGUAGCCGAGGCAUCUCGGCAACACCAAAGGAGCAAUCCGCUGAAAGAUGGACUCGCGUCUGAUUAGAUAGUUGGUGGGGUAACGGCCUACCAAGUCGACGAUCAGUAGCCGGACUGAGAGGUUGAACGGCCACAUUGGGACUGAGACACGGCCCAG
rnacentral:rRNA from 1 species